CCCGAGCCGCAGCCCCCCACCCUGCGCCUGGCUGGGUGUCACCGCAAGCCCCCUCCUGCCGCCCUGUGCCACAAGGCCCCCAGCCCUGCCAGGCCAGCCCAGCCGCCCCGCGCUGUGUGCCCCCGCUGGGGGGGCAGCGAGCGGUGACUGCCUCUCCCCCCCCAGCUCCACCAGCAGCAGCAGCAGGGCCCUGCGCCCCUGGCCGUGGGGCUGUGGGUGGCUGCAGGGGCUCCCAAGCAGCCCUCCGUGACCGCAGGCUCGGCUGCCCGCGCCUCGCAGGCUCAGCUCCGGGAGAUGCCGCUGGGAGGCUGGGCUGAGGAAGACGAGGAGGAGGAGGAGGAGGAAGAGGAGCAGACGACGGGCUAGCUGCCCAUUGCUCCGGUUCCUGGGUGCACCAACAGCGCCCGGCACCCCCAGGCCCGGGGGAGCUGCUGGAGGGGGCGGCCGGGGCCCGGGCGCCGUGGGGCCGCUCGACGCCGCCUGCUGCAGCCGGGGGCCCGACCGUGGGGACCCCCACUUGGCUGCGUCUCCGUGCCGCUGCCCGGCCUGCGGCGUGGGGCCGGGGCGCUGCCGGGGGCAGCCGGCCCCACCAGGUGCUAUAUUUAUAUGGGGGGCACGGCGCGCCCGGGGCUGCUGCUGUCCCUGCUGCCCACCCGUGCCGGGGCCCCCCCACUGCUGUGGCCAAGCCUGGGGUGACGCAGGACCCCCCUCGGCCCCGGGAGCCCCAGGGGCAAAUAAAGGUUUACAGACUGGUUGUGCUGGAGAGCGCUGCGUGCGCUGCCCCGCCGGGGUGCCGCCGGCUCCGCGUGGGGACCGGGGCAGGGGUGUGGGGGGGGUGGCACUGGGGCGACACCGUGGUUCCGUGGUGUUUUGUGACACGACGCCGGGGUGCGCCGGGAGCUGCUGGUGCUGCUCACCCGCUGCCCCCUCAGCCCCAUCCCUGCCUGCAGGGUGCAGGGGCCGCCGAGGCGCUGCCCGGACCCCAACCCGCAGAUGGUCCCCCCCUGCCGCCCCCGGAGCCCCCCGGGACGCAGGACGCCGUACGGGGUUAUCAAAACUAAACCUUUACCGGGGGCGGGCGCUGCCUGCAGCGGGGGGGCAGCAGCGCAGGGGCACGGGGGGGUCCCCGGCGCGCUCAGGGGGCCGGGCGCGGCGGCCGGCGCUCCUGCAUGGAGAAGGACUGGCUGCGGAUGCGGAAGGCCACCUCCUGCGUGCGGAAGGUGAGGCCGAAGAUGUCCUCGUGGUACCGGUUCUUGUCCUGCGGGGAGGGGGCGGUGAGGACAGCGGCUCCGGGCACCCUCCCCAGGCCCUCCCUGUCCCCGCGCCCCCCCGUCCCUUACCCGCAGCUCGCUGAUGAAGUCCCCCGCCUGCCCCAGCGUCAUGCCGGCCUGCUGCACCAGGAUGUGCUGCACCGUCUGCAGCACCUCGGUGGCCAUCGUCACGUCCCCGCACACGUACAUGUGCCCGGCGCACUGGCACAGCACCCGGUGCACCUCCUCCGCCAGCUGCGUCCGCAGCACGUCCUGCACGUAGGCCUGGGGGCGCGGGGGCUGCGCUGAGACCCGCACGUGGCCCCCGUCCCCGUCCUGUCCCCAUCACGUCCCUGUCCCCGCCCCGUCCCCGUGUCCCUGUCCCCCCUCUGUCCCCACGCCCGCCCCCCCCCCCCCCCCCUGCCCCCCCCCCGCCCCCUCCCCUCCCCCUCUCCCCCCCCCCCCCCCCCCCCCCCCCCCCCCCCCCCCCCUCUCCCCCCCCCCCCCCCCCCCGGGGGGGGAAGGGAGGGGGGG
ensembl:lncRNA